AACGUCGUGAGACAGUUCGGUCCCUAUCUGCCGUGGGUGUAGGAAGUUUGAGAGGAUCUGCCUUUAGUACGAGAGGACCGAGGUGGACGUACCCCUGGUGGACCAGUUGUCGUGCCAACGGCACAGCUGGGUAGCUAAGUACGGAAGGGAUAACCGCUGAAUGCAUCUAAGCAGGAAACCCACCUCAAAACUAGACUUCCCCAUUAGAGCCGUGGAAGACCACCACGUUGAUAGGUCAGGUGUGGAAGCACAGUAAUGUGUGUAGCUAACUGAUACUAAUAGCUCGA
rnacentral:rRNA from 1 species